rnacentral:tRNA from 1 species
AUUAAAGUAGUUUAAGUAAAACAUUAGCCUGUGGAGCUAAAAAUGGGAUUACCCCUUUAAUC